AUUGAACGCUGGCGGCAUGCUUUACACAUGCAAGUCGAACGGCAGCACGGGCCUCUGCCUGGUGGCGCGUGGCGCACGGGUGAGUGAUAUACCUGAACGUACCCAGCAUUGGUGGAUAACGUAGCGACAGUUACGCUGAUACCACAUACGAUCAUUGGCUGAAACAAGGGGAUCGCAAGGCAUUGUCGUCCUUGAGGGGCCGACUUCCGAUUUGCUAGUUGGUGAGGUAAAGGCUCACCAAGGCGACGAUCAGUAGCUGGUCUGAGAGGACGACCAGCCACACUGGAACUGAGACACGGUCCAGACUCCUACGGGAGGCAGCAGUGGGGAAUGUUGGACAAUGGGCGCAAGCCUGAUCCAGCAAUGCCGCGUGAGUGAAGAAGGCCUUCGGGUUGUAAAGCUCUUUUGUCAGGGAAGAAACGGUAGAGGCUAAUAUCCUUUGCUAAUGACGGUACCUGAAGAAUAAGCACCGGCUAACUACGUG
rnacentral:rRNA from 1 species